UUAGCGGCGGACGGGUGAGUAACACGUAGGCAACCUGCCCCUUGGACUGGGAUAACUACCGGAAACGGUAGCUAAUACCGGAUAAUUCCUCUUAGUUCCUGCUAAGAGGCUGAAAGGCGGAGCAAUCUGUCACCAAGGGAUGGGCCUGCGGCGCAUUAGCUAGUUGGUGGGGUAACGGCUCACCAAGGCGACGAUGCGUAGCCGACCUGAGAGGGUGAACGGCCACACUGGGACUGAGACACGGCCCAGACUCCUACGGGAGGCAGCAGUAGGGAAUCUUCCGCAAUGGGCGAAAGCCUGACGGAGCAACGCCGCGUGAGUGAUGAAGGUUUUCGGAUCGUAAAGCUCUGUUGCCAGGGAAGAACGUCCUUAAGAGUAACUGCUUAAGAAGUGACGGUACCUGAGAAGAAAGCCCCGGCUAACUACGUGCCAGCAGCCGCGGUAAUACGUAGGGGGCAAGCGUUGUCCGGAAUUAUUGGGCGUAAAGCGCGCGCAGGCGGCUGUUUAAGUCUGGUGUUUAAACCAUGGGCUCAACCUGUGGUCGCACUGGAAACUGGGCAGCUUGAGUGCAGAAGAGGAAAGUGGAAUUGCGACGUGUACCGGUGACGUGC
rnacentral:rRNA from 1 species